ensembl:rRNA 5_8S_rRNA 5.8S ribosomal RNA
AACUCUUAGCGGUGGAUCACUCGGCUCGUGCGUCGAUGAAGAACGCAGCUAGCUGCGAGAACUAAUGUGAAUUGCAGGACAUAUUGAUCAUCGACCUUUCGAACGCACCUUGCGGCCCAGGUUCCUCCCGGGCUACGCCUGUCUGAAGUCG